rnacentral:rRNA from 1 species
AUUGAACGCUGGCGGAAUGCUUUACACAUGCAAGUCGAACGGCAGCACGGACUUCGGUCUGGUGGCGAGUGGCGAACGGGUGAGUAAUGUAUCGGAACGUGCCCAGUCGUGGGGGAUAACGUAGUGAAAAUUACGCUAACACCGCAUACGAUCUAUGGAUGAAAGCGGGGGAUCGCAAGACCUCGCGCGAUUGGAGCGGCCGAUAUCAGAUUAGGUAGUUGGUGGGGUAAAGGCCCACCAAGCCAACGAUCUGUAGCUGGUCUGAGAGGACGACCAGCCACACUGGAACUGAGACACGGUCCAGACUCCUACGGGAGGCAGCAGUGGGGAAUUUUGGACAAUGGGCGUAAGCCUGAUCCAGCCAUUCCGCGUGCAGGAUGAAGGCCCUCGGGUUGUAAACUGCUUUUGUACAGAACGAAAAGGUUUCUACUAAUACUAGGAGCUCAUGACGGUACUGUAAGAAUAGGCACCGGCUAACUACGUGCCAGCCGCCGCAGUAA